UGCUGGUCUCAGCCUCCCAAAGUGCUGGGAUUACAGUUGUGAGCCACCAUGCCCAGCCUCUCUUUUUUUUCUGUAUGCCCACUUCUUGGACCGGGUUCUUCAUUCUGGACCCUGGCAUGGGCCCUGUGAACUUGCAGGGGAAUACAAAGUUGAAGAAAAUGAAGUGCUUCUUUUCAAAGAUCCCCCCCAUAUCUUGAUGGGAGAAACGUGCAAUUAUCUGAGUACACGUUGGAAAGUCUAGAGAAGUCUUCUCAGAGGAGGUUGCGUUUAAGCCGAGUCUCCCUUUUUUUAGAAACGCUCUUUCUCAUCAUUAUAAAUGCUCACUGUAGAAAAUGUGCAUAAGAGGUAGACAGGUUUUCAGAGAAUAAACACUAUCUCUGAUUGUAUCCCACCUACUCACACAUCCGGUUCCACAUAGUUUAGAUCUUGCCCUAGUUGGUCAAGGUCUUUUUCUUUUUACUCAUUACUAAUCUGAGCAUUCCUCCAUGUCAUACUUUAGAAGUAUGGCUUUUCAGGGACUGUAUGACAUUCCCAUUAUAUGUACCAUAAUUUAACCAUUCUCCUACUUUAGAAAACAGAUUUUUUCCAUUUUAGAUACUAUAAAGAAUGUAUUAGUGAAUAUUUAUGUAGAAGUCUUUGCUUAUUUAAAAAAUUUAUUCCAAGGUGGGCGGAUCACGAGGUCAGGAGAUCAAGACCAUCCUGGCUAACACAGUGAAACCCCAUCUUUACUAAAAAUAACAAAAAAAUCAGCCAGGCGUGGUGGCGGGCACUUGUAGUCCCAGCUACUCGGGAGGCUGAGGCAGGAGAAUGGUGUGAACCCGGGAGGCGGAGCUUGCAGUGAGCUGAGAUCGUGCCACUGCACUCCAGCCUGGGCAACAGAGCGAGACUCCGUCUCAAAAAAAAAAAAAAUUUAUUGUGAGUUUUCCUUUGUGAAGUACAGUCAUGCUCCGCAUGAACAACGUUUUGGUCAAAAAGGAAUGGCCUAUAUGACGGUGGUCCCAUUAGAUUAUAAUGGAACUGAAAAAUUCCUAUUACCUAGUGAUGUAGCUGUUGUAAUGUUAUAGUGCAUAUUAUGGUGUAUGUGUUACCUUUUCUGUGUUUAGAUACACAAAAACUUACCAUUGUGUUACAACUGCCUAUAGUAUUCAGUACAGUAACAUGCUGUACAGAAUUGUAGUCCAGGAAUGAUAGGCCAUACAUGUCAUCUAGGUGUGUAGUAGGCUACACCAUCUAGGUUUAUGUAAGUACACUCUUGACAUUACACAACAAUCGCCUAAUGACUCAUUUCUCAGAAAUCGUUAAGCAGCCCAUUGUUAAGCGACCCAUAACUGUAUGUGCUAGGCUCUGGGGUGACAUGAUAAGCCAAAUCAGAGACUUUCUCCAUCUUCAUGAAUUCUGCAUCUUAAUUAGGGAGAGAAACUCCAAGUUGAACUUGGUUUCAUGUGUAGUAUUUUCAAUGAAGGUAUUUUUGUAAUGAGUCACUAGGUCUAAUUCUUCAAAUCAUAAUUGUUUUAUAGCUGUUUAAGGAGAAGAGGUAUUCAGGGAAAUUGACCUUUCGGGUGUUGAUGCACAGAGUCAAGAGGAGGGAAUUGGGGGUGAGGGAGCAUCCCAGAUAGACCAACCUCUGCGAAGGACCUGAAACCAGGGAGAGCCUGGCACAUUUGAGAGACUAGACCAAUUUGGGUUAAUGAGGAAGUAGGCAUGUGGAAAUUAGAGAGGACAGGGAACAGUGUAGACAGAAAUUGAACUGGAAAACCCAAAGGUAUUUAUAGGAACAGCAGAAUAGUUUAGUUGGACUGAAGUUUGAUGUGUGUGUAAGAGAAAUAAGAUGAAAAAUUGACCAGCAUAUAUGCUAGGUAGUUUCACAUGAACCAUUUUGUUUCACCUUUACAACCCUGCAAGGGAUUAAGUAAUUUACCCCAGAUCCUACUAAGUUAAGGAUGGGUAUAUCUUAUUCAAGCAUCCCCCACCCCCUUUUCCCUUAAUAUGGUGAGCUAGAAGUAAGCUGCUCUUACGUUGUGCUGAAGUCUUGAUGAGGUGAUGGAGCUAGUGCUGAUCCUCCUGGUGGUCACAAGAAGCCUCAGGAGCCAUAAGGCACGGAGCUUUCCAUCACUUGGGUGGGUUCCCUCCCUUUCCCUUCAUUAUCCUCUGGUUUCUAGGUGGGGUUGGCUCAUUCCAAGUUGAGCUUGGUUUCAUGUGUAGUGUUCUCAGUGAAUGUAUUUCUCGAGUGAGUCACUUAGGUUUAAUUCUUUCAUUCUACAAACGUGUGUUCCAGGUGCUGGACCAAUUGGGCCUACCACCCGUGGGUAGGAGAACAGCAGUCCCCAAAGCUAGGUUUAGGGUAGUGCUAUAUUAGAAACCAAAAGGGUUGGCUAGACAGUGUUUUAAAUGUAUUUUGUGCUGUCACUUCCCAUUUCCAUCUCAUGCUUUCUGCUUUUGAAAGACCUCUUAAAAUUCAGAUUUGCUCUGGCAUAGGAAGGUUGUCAUUGGAAGAGGGACCUGAAUUUAGGUUACGAUUAUGGGGUUGUCAUAACUAAUUGAGAUCAGGGCUUCCAUGUGGAUAUCCACACUUGAGAUUUGUGCUGUUUUGCAGGGCAGUUUUGGCUAAAUUGGAGUGAUUCUUUCAUGUAGGAGAAAUAGGCGACCUUGAGAAGAGGGGAAAAGAUUAGGAAUAUGGUUACUGGUGAGUGUCCCAGGCUGUUUUGUUAAUUCAUUUUGUGGCUCUUACAGCUAAUCUUUACAGUACUGGUGGUGCCAAUUUGACCAUAGCCUAUCCUCCCCUGUCUUAGGUGGGCACUUAGAAUUGUGGGCCUGGGCCCAGGUCUGUGACCAGAGCCAAACCCUGUGUUGCCAGAAACUUCAAAUCAGCUUCUGUAGAAGAGCUGUAUCUGGCUGGUCAGAGAAUCUGAGGCUUGACUUGGGAAGAACAUUGAGUCUGACCUCCCUUUCCCCUGCCAAGUUUUGUAGAUGGACAAGCUAAUUUCAUUUAUUCAUUCAACAUGUUCUUUGGAAACUCUUUCCAAGUACCAUUUUAGACACAGAUAAUACAUCGGUGAACAAAACAGACAAGUUUUUGCAGUAUGGAGCUUAACAUUCGUUCUGUUGGGAAGACAGUACCCAUAGGUAAUGUACAAGAAAGUGCUCGGUGCUGGGUGCGGUGAGAGGGUAGGAUGGGAAGAGUAGAGCAGGGUAGGGGAGAUCUGAAGCUUGGGUGGUGGGGAGGGGUGGGGAUGUACUUUUAAAUGGAAGAUAUCAGAGUGGGUCUCCCAGAGACGGUGACCUUUGAGCGAAUGUUAGAAGGAGUCGAGGGAGUGAGUCCCAAGGAUUUCUGGGGAAAGAGCAUCUCAGACAGAAGUAAUGGCCACUGUGAAGGUCCUGAAAGUUGGCCAGAGUGAGCAAGGAGUGUAUAGGAAGAGAUAGAUAACUAGGAGCCAAGUAGGCCUCGUAAGCCUCUAGAGAUUUUGGCUUGUGUUUUUGGAUGAGAUGGAAAGCCAUGGGGAUGUUUUCAGCUGUGUGAUAUCUGCUCUUUUGAAAGGAUCACUUUGCAUCUUGAAAUAACGGGAUAAGAUGGGAGGCUGUUGCAAUAAUCCAGGUGAGAGAUGACGAUGGCUUGAAACAAUGUAACAGAGAAGUGAUUAUUGGAUUUUGGGUAUUUUUUUGAAGUCAGAGCCAGCAGGAUUUCCGGCCGGAUCAUAUGGGAGGUGUGAGAGAAAGGAAUUAAUCAUCACUUCAAGGUGUCAGCCUAAGUGAUGGGAAGAAUAGAGCUGCCAUUAAAUAAGAUGGGGAAGACAUUGGGGGAAUAGGGUUGGCAGGACAAAGUUAGGUUUUAGUUAUCUGAAAGUUUGGCAUGCCUAUUUAGAAUCCAACUACAGAUGUAGAGUAGGCAGUUGGAUGAGUCUGGAGUUCAAGGGAGGGGUCCAGCCUAGAGAUACAAAUUUAGAGAUUUGCCACAGUACUGGAGUGGGUAUAGACAAGAGGAGGUCAGAGGACUGAGCUCCAGGUGGUGCAACAUUGAGGAUGGGAAGAAAGAAAGGAGCCAGAGAGAGGGGAAAAGACAUCAAGAGGAGGAGGGAGCCAGCCGUGGCAUCAUCUGCUAGUUGAUUGAGAGGACUUGAUCAUUGGAUUUAGUAAAUGGGAAAGCAUCAGUACUCAUGAACAAUUUUGGUGGAGUAAUGGGGAAACCUGUAACUAGAGUGGAUUUGAGAGGGGAAGAGGAGAGGAAUUGGAGACAGUGGAAGAAUAGACCAGUAGUUGUCAAAGUAUUUUGUCUGAAAGCCUCUUUACAUUUUUGAAUUUACGGACUCCAAAGAGCUUUUGUUUUGGGUUAUAUCUGUGGAUGUUUGUACUAUUAAAAAUUAAAAUAGGCUGGGCGUGGUAGCUCAUGCCUUGUAAUCCCAGCACUUUGGGAAGCCAAGUAGGGGCAGAUUGUUUGAGCUCACGAGUUUGAGACCAGCCUGGGCAACAUGGUGAAACCUGGUCUCUACUAAAAAUACAAAAAUUAGCCAGGUGUGGUGGCACAUGCCAUAGGCCCAGUACUUGGGAGACUGAGGCAGGAGAAUUGCUUGAACCAGGGAGGCAGAGGUUGCAGUGAGCCAGGAUCACACCACUGCACUCCAGCCUGGGCGCCAGAGAGGGACUCUGUCUCAAAAAAACAAAAAAACUCUAGUUGCAUAAGUAAACACACUUGACCCCUAUACCACCAAGAUGAAAAAACACCUCAAUGUUUUAGGAUUGUAGAUUUCAGAGUCGCAUUUAAGUCAGGACUAACUAGUUUCAGUUUUUUUGCAAAAAUAAAAGGAAAUGCAUUUUGGGUUGGAAACCUGGGAUUCCCCUGAAAGAAGUGGUGUCUAGUAACAAUGCAGGGAUGGAGUCUCAUAUCUGCGUUUUCCUGACUGUGUGGCCUUAGGCAAAUUAUUCCACUUAUCAGGGCCGCAGUUUUAUUAUCUAUAAAAUGGAGUUGAUCCUAUAUAUCUUAUUGAGGUUGUUGGGGGAAUCACAAGAGGUUGUGAAAGUGCCCUAUGUAAACAGUCUGAAUUAAUUGUAAUACAGUAGCAUUGUUUAGAUCCAUACUUUGGCCUAGGUAGAAGUAUUGGCUUCCAUUUCCCUCUGAAGACAGUGGUCUUUGGUAGCCUCACUUUUGUGGAUUGCCAAAUAGCUUUUCUUUUGAAACAAAGCUGUAGUCAAGGCCCACGCUGUCCAAUCACUUGUUCCAGAAAAGUAUAUCUAUUUUUAAAGACCAUUCAGUGAUGGGUCUGAUCUCUUUCUUAUUUGUCGCUUUUGAAAGAUGUUUAAUAAUUCCUAAUGGCUCCUACCAGCUAGCCACAGCCUUUUAUCCCAUGCAGGAAGCCAGCCAAACUGAUGUUCCAGGUGCCUCCGCCCACGUGUUACCAGGGAGAGUGUUGUGGGAUGAGGGAAUCUGCAUUCAUGGCCAAGUCUGCUGUCUGAUAUACAAACCUCCGUUACUAGGGCCUUUUGAAGCCAAAGCCCUCGAAUGACGUCUUUUUGGAGUGGGCAGCUAAGGCCUGCUGAAGGAAAUCAGAUGUUGGUGUGACCUGAGGGGUCACAGAAAGUAUUUCUAGUUCUAUAUGAGAUCUUGGUAGCUGCCUAACAUCAGAGAAGGAAAUCAGGCCCAAUUUCUGUUGAAGUAAUAGUUGAUGCAUUUAUCCCUGGCCUGGGGUCCAAAGAUGUGGCUCUCAGCUAACGUACUGGGUGACCUGCGUUGGCCCCUUGACCUGCGCUUCAGAUUUUACUUCUAUUUUGCAAGAUCUAACCCUAGUACAACCCUAAUCAAAGACAGGAAUUCACAAGCCCUUUCAGCUUAUCUGACAGGCAAGAGUAUAUUGCCUGUUGAAGCCAUAGAAGCCCAAUUCAAUGACCAAUUUUUUGCUUUGGGCUGGAAUUACACGCAACUGUGUUGUUACGCACGCUAUAGCUACCAAGUUAAUCAGCAGUGAUACUAAAAAAUGGAAAAGAAAUGCGUAAUUAACAUGGUUUGUUUGAAACAGCAAAGUAUUCAAAGCAGUCUCUGUAGGGUAAAUUUUAAAAUCGUUUUAGGUGAGAAGUUGGGACCGCCAGUACUAAAUAGGUCCACUCUAUGACUUCCUGGCCCAGCUCUCAGGAUGGCCAGGAACUAGCUCCUGCCUUACAGGACUGCCCUCCCUUGCCUGUACCUGGUGCCUGGCUGAGGAGUGUGGCAGCCUGAGGGGUUAGGCUGUGAAGAAGGGCAGCAGCGCCAAAGAUGACCAAAACGGCAGUGAUUCAUGGUCGUCCCUGGGCUGAGUGCUUUAUGACUGAUAAUUCAUUUACUUACUUUCAAGUAAAUUCCUGAAGGUCACAGAGCUAAGAAGAGGUAAAGCCUAGCCUUGAACCCAGGAGUCAGUCCAUGGCUUUAACCAGUUUGGUUUAUUGCCUCAUUGAAUCAUCUUUAAAUUUAAAAUGUUUUCCUAAUUGAAUUCAACAAAUAACUGAGCAUCAAAGUAGAUAGAAUUUCCUGCCCACAAAGCCCAGAGCAUUAUGAGAUGCGCAGUAUGGAACACUUAGUAGGGCUUCAAGAGGAGCUAGUUCCUCUCCUACUCUGCAAAGGUCCAGAAUAUGGUGAUAAGCAGCCAGGUAGCCCAAAGGAAAGUAGAAGCAAGGAAGGUUCUUCCUUCAUGGGAAGGUGUAACUGCCAAGGGGUCGAAGUCAGUGGUUUGGUUUUGCACCCCAGAAGCUGAUCCCUACUUAGUCUUUGGUGGAGCCUUGAAUUUCCCAAAGGGAGGAUGGGAAAAGGGAAACGCUAAGCUGUACCCCGAAGUGGGUAAGAAUGGAGGUGUUAUUAAGAGCAGAGAGAUCAUGGGGUCGAGGUGGUAUCUCUUGAUGAUGAUCAAUUCUUUAAUCCAGGCAGAUCCAGAACCCCUGAGGUUCUUUGAGUCCCUGCCCAUAUAGUAGGGGUCACAGCUUUGCCACAACCCAUCUCACUAGCACUAAACAGCUUCACAAGAGGUGGGGGUUAUGAGUGAAGAGUCAGAGUGUUUGGUUCUCUUUUCUCGCAGGAAAUUGAAGCUCAGUCUUCAACUGUGAAGACCCUAGUGGCGCUAGAUACCUGUAUACAAAGAGACAUGUCCCUUGGGGCCUCAUCUCUCUGCUGGUGUUUUCUGAGGAGUUUUCCUCCCCAGGUGGGGAAGGCUGGUAUUUUAUUUUUUUUGUAAGUCCCCACAAGCUCCCCAGUGACCUGCUGUUGCCAUCUCUUGAUUGUUUCUGCCGCAUCAACAGCAGGAAGCUGAGCUGUCAGUUAUGUAAUGGGGCCGAUGGCCCCCCAGGGAUCAUCUGUCCCUUGCAGCUCUGCAGGACUUGAAAGCAUCCAUGAGGGGACAGGCCUGGCCCGGGGCUGUUGACGUCAAGGCCCAGUUGCUGCUCACAUGUUCCUCCUCCAUGGCCUCCUUGGUGCCACCUAACCUAGAUAGCAUCCCUUUGGGCAAAUCAGAGUGGCUCUUGUAAUCGUCCAGCUGUGAGCAAAGCUGCCUGAUGGUUCAGGGGUGCUUCCAACUCCCAUUUCCUCUUACCCCAGGGACGCAGACACUCCCACCAACAGCUACUGGUUAUCAAAACCUGCUCUGAGGGACCCCUUGACUUGUGCAGGGCAGAGACCCUGCCUUUUUAUUCCGAGCCCUGAAUUAAGCACUUUACAUGUAUCAUUAUCAUACAUCAUCUGCUUAGCUAUUCUGUUAUGUGCCCUCUUUUCUGCAGAUAAGGAAGCAGAAAAUCACUUUCCUAAGGUUUUGAGAGCCAGGAUUUGAGACGAGAUGUAUCUGUCUGGAAACUCUACUGCUCCGUUCUGCAUUCUACAGCCUCUUAAAGCCACUUUUAAUGAAUUUCUAUUCUGAGGCAGAUGCAGGAACAGAGGAUGUCAUGAGUAAGAAGUGUUGGUGAAGAUAUCUUCAACCCCUUGUGUCCUCUCUGCUCCUCCUCACUUGAUCCCACCCCCCAACACACAGUGUCAGUGAGAAACCCUAGCACCAGUGGUUCUCAGGAUGUGGUUCCCAGACCAGCAGCAUCACCUGGGAACUUGUUAGAAACACGUAUUUCUGGCUGCACCUCAAACCUACUGAGUUGGAAACUGGGGAGUGGUAUUGUAUCAGCUCUCCAGGUGAUGGCUGAUGAACACAAAAGCUUCAGAACUGCUCUGGCAAAAGAGGGUAAAUGUGCAGUCAGCCACCCUGCCAUCUUUUAGACAUGCAGACCAUUGCCCUCACCUUUUACCCUUUUACCUUCAAAAAGCUUGGACCUAGGUGUGAGAAUCGGGAGGGCCUGUAAGGUCCUGGCUUCUAUAAUUCCAUAAGUAAUUGUAUAAUUACCUAGCACUGUGACUUGGACAAGUCACUCCUCCAGAGAACCAAGGUACCUGAAGGACCACUGUUUUCCCUUUCCCCCGUUCCUUCUGUCCUGGCGUGUUCCUAGUUCCAUGGUGGAUGUGGUUCUGGGACCCUGGGACAACUGACUCCCGCUCAGGCUCUCAGUGCAUUUGUCUUCAGGAUAGGGUGAAGCCCUGUGGCCUCUUACUCCUGUGGGAGUAGGAGGAAACAAUUUAACCUCUCCGUGGGCUUCCCUGGGGAAGUGGACUUCUGAGCCAUAAUAAUGAUGAAUGUCUCAAGGUGAUCUCAGGGGAGUGCUGUCAGGGCAACCACAGGAUUCCUGUGAAGUCUGAAUGGUAGGGAGGUCACCCCUAGAGGAAGGAGAAAUUGAGAAGCAACAGGGCAUAGGAAACAGGGAAGCCCCCCGAGGUACAGGUGGAACUUAGGUCUCUUAAGUGGAAUCUGUGGGGGGUUUUUUUUGAGGUGGAGUCUCGCUCUGUUGCCAGGCUGGAGUGCAGUGACACAAUCUCGGCUCACUGGCUUCACGCGAUUCUCCUGCCUCAGCCUCCCGAGUAGCUGGGAUUAUAAGUGCAUGCCACCACGCCCAGCUAAUUUUCAUAUUUUUAUUAGAGACAGGGUUUCACCAUGUUGGCCAGGAUGGUCUCAAUCUCCUGACCUCGUGAUCCACCCGCCUCGGCCUCCCAAAGUGCUGGGAUUACAGGCUUGAGCCACUGCACCAGGCCUCUAAGUGGAAUCUUAAACAUGACUUUGAAUUGUGACUAGCAAACUUCGUUUUUCUGUUCCACAGACAUGUAUUGAGCACCCGCUGUGAGCCAGGUUUGGGCCGUGGAGAUGAGAAUUCCCAUCCUCAGUCCAUGUAAACCCUGGGCAUCUCUCUGAGCCUCCGAGUCUGCCUUCGUAAAGGGGGGUUGCUAACACCUGGAGGGAUUGCCGUGGGGAUUACAUAGAACGGGAAUGAAAAGCUGGCAGAGGCCUGCCAGGCACGCAGCAGGUACCACACAGGCGUUGGUUCCUGCUGCCCUUUCAUGCCAGUUCUCGGGCACGCUGAUGGCAGAGCGAGAAUUAGCAUCUCGGAAUGUGUGCAGGCUCAUGUGUUUCCCCCUCCCCCACCAAUAAAAAGGAAAACAUGCAUGCCCAAGGGGACCCGUUAAUUUUUUGAUCAACUGUGUGUUGGGCACUGUAGUGGGUGCCUCUAUUAAUAACACAUGGGUGAAAAAAGCAGACGUGGUCCUCACCCUUGAGGCACUGAGUUUGAGAGACGUGUCAUACGAGAGUACCAUAGGUACAGUUUCAGUUGUGUGUAAAUGAAGAAAAUAGCAGAAAAUGAGGACCUGCCCAAGGCGGUCAGAGAAAGGCUCUCUGAGGAGGUGGCAUUGAAGCCGAGACCUGAAGGAUGAGGCCUCUGCCAAGCAGAGGAGGAGGGAGCCGGCUGGAGUGCGGUGGUCAAGGUGUGGGAGGCCAGGAGGAGGUCACUGGCUGCUCUGUGGCCAGUAAAACUGGAGAGAGGCAGUUGUGGAAGCAGGGAGCCCAGGUAGGAGGCUGUAGCUGCCCAGGUUAGGGGAGAUGGUGAAGUGGGAGUGAAUUCAAGGUGCAUUUUGGAGGUUCAAAAGGGCUCUCAGAUGGCCUGAAAUCGGAAGGUAGGAAGGAGUGGCUCAGAGCUGACUCCAUCAUGUGUGGCUUGAGUGACUGGGUGGUGGGAACAGAGCCAUGUAAGAGUGAAUGUUGCAGCAGGAGACGGUUUAGGGGAGUAGGGAGAUACACAAAUGAGUCUUGGACGUGCGGACAUGAGACCGUACUCUCUCUCCUGCGUGGGUGUUUGUGGUAAGUGGCGCCCGUUUAUCUGGGUCUUCUGAGAGGACUGUUGGAUCUCAGUUUUGCUGCGAACAAAGAGCACCUUCACAGGCACAGAAUGGUCCCUUGGACUCGGGGCUGCGUUCAUGGCUGAGUCUUGCUGCGUUUUGUUCUUUUCUUGGUAAUCAGCUUCUCAUUAGGUUAUGAUGUGUUGCUCUUCUGUCCUUAUUUGCAUCUGCUCUCUGCUAUAAUUGUGUUUCAAGAACAUGGCGUUUUGUUGUUUUUGUACUGUUUUGCUUUUUAGAGCUGAAAACCUGUGCGGGGUCUUGUCACAUGGGCAGCCUGGUGAUCCUGUCACGGGGCAGCUCUCCAGUGUGGGCAUCUCGCUCUCUCUUUAUUUAUUUAUUUUUACUAGUUAUAUAACAUCAGAGUCAUGAUUGCUGGCUGUAAAAUUGAUUUUGAGAACUACUUUAAUUUGUAAAUUGGGAAAUACUUUCUAUUUUGGGUUAGGGAAAGGCAUACAGGGGAGGGAGAUGGGGGAAGAAGGUCUGUAGUCCCUGGUUUCAGUAAUCUUCAGGUUUCUAAGUGCAAGCACCCGGAGCUGAGGGGCGGCCCUCCAACCUUAUCUGGACGGUCAGCCAGUGGGGAAGGGGCUUUGGAGUCACUCCUUUGGCCAUCCCGUCACACCGUGGUUUGAAUGACAAUAGAGGGCGUGGGUAGAGGUUGUGUCAUCUGCCUGCUCACCAGACCCCCUUCCCUGGAACCCCCUGGGGACCUAGGUCUUUAUACAAAUUCAGCAAGUGGUUACUGAGAAUUAGCAGCUUGCCGAUCAUCUUGCAUUCACUAUAUACUCAUGCGUCACUUAAUGACGGGGAUAUAUUCUGAGAAAUCCACUGUGAAGCGAUUUUGUCUUUGUGCACACAUCAUGGAGUGUUCUUACACAGUCCUGGAUGGUAUAGCCUCCUAUACACCUAGGUUAUAUGGUAGAUAGAGCCUAUUGCUCCUAGACUGCAAACCUGUACAGCAUGUUGUGGUACUGAAUACUACUAUAGGCAGUUGUAACACAAUGGUGUUUGUGUGUCUAAACAUGUAAACAUAGAAAAGGUACAGUGAAAAUACGGCAUAAAAGGUAAAAAAAAUGGCUGGGCUUGCUGGCUUAUGCCUAUAUUCCCAACACUUUGGGAGGCCAAGACAGGAAGAUCACUUGAGCCCAGGAGUUUGAGACCAGCCUGGGCCACAGAGGGAGACCCCCAUCUCUACAAAAUUAUAUUAAAGUUUUGUUUUUUUUUUUAAGAUUAAAAAUGGUAUACCUAUAUAGGGCACUUACUAUGAAUAGAGCUUGCAGGACUAGAAGUUGCUCUGGGUGAGUCAGUGAGUGAGUAAUGAGUCAGUGUGAAGGCCUAGGACAUUACUGUACACUAUUGUAGAAUUUCUUUCUUUAAAAAUAAAUUAACCUUAGCUUACUGUAACUUUUUUGCUUUCUAAACUUAAAAUUUUUAAAAAAUUUCUUGAUUCAUUAACAUUUAGCGUAAAACACAAACAUAAGACAGGGUCGCGCUCUGUCACCCAGGCUGGAGUGCAGUGGCACGAUCUUGGAUUACUUGGCAGCCUCGACCUUCUGGGCUCAAGCUGUCCUCCUGCCUCAGCCUCCCAAAGCGCUGGGCUUACAAGCCUGAGCCACCGUGCCUGGCCCUUCUUUCUUCAUAUCCUUAUUCUGUAUACUUUUUUCUAUUUUAAAAAAGUAAUUUUUUUACUUUUUAAAUUUUUUUUGCUUAAAAACAAAAACCCACACAUUAGCCUAGGCCUAUGCAGGCUCAGCGUCAGUACUCCCCACUCUUUUUUAAAUGUUGUGAAAUCCUCACCUGCAUCCUAAGUAUUGUUGUCCCCCCAACUCCCACUCCAGAGAAAGGAAGUGAUUUACCACUGGCCACAUGGCUAGCUCAUGCCAGCUCAAAGGCCAGAGCUCCAGUGCUCAUGAUCUCCAUCGAGCUACCAAAGAGAGUUCAUCUGAGCAAAUCCAUAUGCACCGCACUGUCUCAGGGCCACCAGGAGCUCAGAAAAGGGAGCUGGCUUUUGCCAAAGAAGUAAGUGAUGGCAAAGUAGAGGACACAUGACUUAAGAUGGACCUUGAAGAAAGAAGAACAGAUUAGGAUAUUUGAAGCAGGGGCCAUAGCACGUCCAAAGACAGAACACUGGAAUUUGUGAAGAGUGCCUAUCCCUGGGUGGGUUCACACAGAGGCUAGAGUAGAAAGCUAAAUAGGGCUAAGUUGCCAAGAGCCUUGAAUGCCAGCCUGAGGAGAAUGAACUUCAUCCUGCCAAAAAAGACAAGGGUGAGUGGGUGGUGGUGAGCAAGGCUGUAUUUUAGGCAGGUGAGUCAGUAACAAUGAGGGGAGAACUGUCAGUCCCCCAGGAGGGGAAGAUGAAUUGCCACACUGGCAGUACCUGUCUCCAAAAAGUGUGAGACUGCACAGGCACCUUCCAGAGCAUGGGAAGGCGGUAAGGGUAACAUCUGAAUAGGAAGAUGAGAAACCUUUGCUUCUAUAUUGGUGUCAAGACAUCAACAGACUUGCUGUUGAACCUGUUGGACUGGUCAAUCUAGGUUUAAACGGCAGCUCUCCUACUUACUAGCUGGGCGGCUUUGGGCAAGUGAUCUACCUUCUCUGGGCCCCCAUUUCCUUGUCUGGUCAGUGCAGUAAGUGUUGCUCACUGUAGGCUGUGUCCGGCGCAGUUCCUAGCUCCUGAUGACAGUUGAGUCAGUGGUGGCUCUGUGUAUUGCCCCCAUCCUGCUAUUUUGUUUGUUUUUGCCAAAUCCUUAUAGGCUAAUCACACGUUUUCACUUUGCUUCUCACUAACAAUUUGUGAUAGCAUUCUUUCUCCCAAAGAGAUCUCCAAACCCCUUAGCAAUUGCCUCCAGUGAGUUCCCCUUGGCUUAGUGGGCUUUAACUGGUUGUUGUAACCAAAAGUCCAUGUGGACCUCUCUGUGGGUGUGACCUUCUUGGCAUCUUUCUUAUAACCACAAAUUGUUCUGUCCCCAUAUGGAAGAGUGACCGUUCCCCUUUAGCUAGUAAUGGCACCUUAGCAUCUUCCUCCUGGCAAGGGCCCCUGAGGACCUCAGCCUUUCCCUUGGGCUCUUUCUUUGCUAAUCACAGCAGCCACAACUGAACCUGUCUCUGGGGACCAAUUGAGGCAGUUGGCAGCUUUUAUUUUCUGCCCCACACUUAAUAAGUUGAGGAGGGGAAUUAGGGUAUCCACACAGCUAACUGCCAAUUACCUGGGCUGUUUCUAGAGACAAAUAGUUCCCCUUAGUUGGUGUUGGGUUUCACCCAGUGUCUGUGUACUAAUUAAAGUGCUUAGAGGAACUACCAUCCCAGUGCCCUAUUGCCUCUUGACCUCCCAAGGCCAGAAAGACGAGGUUUAAGUGAGUCUGGGUUCUCAGACGCAGACAAGAUGACUCAGUGUGCAGCCCUGCCUGCUGGUCACCACGGAGACCUCCAAAUCUCAGAAUCUGCAGUCUUGCCUACUGUUUCUCUGUGUGCAUUUGGCAAACUUUUUAAUACUAGCACUUUUGGCAGUAUACUCCAAGCAAUCAAAUUGUUUAAAACAAUAUUAAGCAAGUCUUCAUGUCUAGGAGCUUUCACAGUAACUGCUUGCUCCACUGCCCUGACUUUCUGGCACACUUGAGAUACAGCUGACAUCUCUUUGCAGCAGCAUGCUGUCUCGGCUUUAAGCUUUGUUCAGACCCUUUCCCUCAGUAAGUCAUACCCUGCUGACUUACUGGGCCUUACAUGGGCCUGCCACUUGUUGCUGCAAGAGUGUUUGUGCCUCUUCCUUGUAUAAGUGGGGCGUGGAUUGAGCUUCAGGGACGCAGCAUAGAGCCUGUCUCCUCCUGAUAACAUUCGUCCACUUGAAAGGGGAGUCUCAGGCUGGGCGUGGUGGUGCACACCUGUAAUCCUAGCUAUUGGGGAGGCUGAAGCAGGAGAAUCGCUUGAACCCGGGAGGCAGAGGUUGUAGUGAGCUGAGAUGGUGCCACUGCACUCCAGCCUGGGCAACAGAGCGAGACUCCGUCUCCAAAAAAAAAAAAAAAAAGAUGGGGCGGGUCUCGGGUUCUGCUAGAAACUUUCAAGGAGGAGGAGGACCUCACUGUUGCCCUGUUAGAAAGGGCUCUGGUGCAUUGAGCUGAAGUCUGCCUCCCUCCAAACACUCUUUGGCCUGAUUUCCCUCAGCCCCAGCCACACAAGUUGUACGUCUCACCUGUGCUGGGGGUGCCCUGUUUAGAGCACUCAUGUGCCACUGUCCAGUUAGUUUUUGCCUUAAUAAAUAAGGGGCCUAUAGAGGGCCUCUUCUCAGUAUUCUUUGUGCCAUGUUCCUUUCUCAGAACCUGAAUGGUGUGUUAUUCUACCAUUUAAAAAAUGCCUGGGGCCUGGCGCGGUGGCUCAGGCCUGUAAUCCCAGCACUUUGGGAGGCCGAGGCUGGCAAAUCACCUGAGGUAAGGAGUUCAAGACCAGCCUUGCCAACAUGGUGAAACCCCAUCUCUACUAAAAAUACAAAAAUUAGCCGGGCGUCAUGGCACACGCCUGUAAUCCCAGCUACUCGGGAGGCUGAGGCAGGAGAAUCGCUUGAACCCGGGAGGUGGAGGUUGCAGUGAGCCGAGAUUGUGUCAUUGCACUCCAGCCUGGGCAACAGAGUGAGACUCUGUGUCAAAAAAGAAAAGAAAAAAAAAUGCCUGGGAUAUGCAUUAAACUUCCCAGCCCUAAGGGGCUUUGCAGAACCUGUGCAUCCUUGGGGUUAGAAGGAGUCCAGGUUAAGAACCCCUGUGCUGGCCCCAGGUCCUUCAUUUGGCAGGGGAAGAAAUGAAGUCUCCAGAGGGGGAGUAGGGAGAGAGCUAGAGGGGCCUGGAACCAGGUUUCCCACAUUUACUCUUAGCAACAGGCAAGAUCCUUCAUCUUCCCGUGUUUCACUUCAGUUCCUCUUAGUAGGUUGCCUCCUGGGAGCACAUUCCUAUGAUUGCAUCUGUGCUUUUAUAGCCUGGGCGACAGUCUGUCUGCCUUUCAGAGAAUCCGUGGGACUGGCUUCCUCUGGAUACACUUAAGUGGGUGAACAGAAUGUGGAAGAUGGUGGCAGGGGGUGGCUAGGUAAAGGGUGGACCCCUGCUGAGCAGGGGCUGGUGGUGCUCAGUUCCUUGUAGGGCUGCCCCAGCCGCCUCUUUCAACAAUCCAUGUGUUUUGAAUGUGGCAUAUGGGAGUCCUCCAGCAGUCCAACAUAUCUGGCAGGACUUCAGCCAGGAUUCCACUUCCUGGACCACUUGUUAGCUAAAGAGACUUAUAGGAUAUAUUUGCCAUUUUACAAAUGGUUGGGUCUAGAAAGAGGCUUUGUGCAUUUUAAGAUCUUGGGCAGGGCGUUGUGGCUCACACCUGUAAUCCCAGCACUUUGGGAGGCCAAGGCAGGAGGAUCACUUGACCCCAGGAGUUCAAGACCAGCUUGGCCAACAUGGCGAAACCCUGUCUCUACUAAAAAUACAAAAAUUAGCCGGGCGUGGUGGUGCGCGCCUGUCUUCCCAGCUACUCAGGAGAAUCACUUGAACCCAGGAGGUGGAGGUUGCAGUGAGCCGAGAUUGCACUGCUGCGCUCCAGCUUGGGCGACAGCAAGACUAAUAAGACUAAUUAGCUGGGCACAGUGGCAUGCACCUGUGGUCCCUACUCAGGAAACUGAGGCGGAAGGAUCACUUAAGCCAGGGAAGUCAAGGCUGCAGUGAGCCAGGAUCAUGCCUUUGCACUCCAGCCUGACAGAGCAAGGCCCUAUCUCAGAAAAAAAAGCCAUCUUGGGAAGUCCAUACUUUCAGACUAAACCAUAGUGCUCCAGUCAUAAGUCUACUCUUUUCAUUAACCUCUUACCAUACCUAACUUAGACUCAGGGGACACAUUCUGAGGCCGGGCCUGCUCCAAAUAGCCACACUUGGAUUUCAAGGAACCCCUCCACGUGAAACAGAUGUAUUUGCCAAAGUUGGCCGUCUUCUUCCCCUUGAAAGAAGGCCUCCUGUUGAGAAGUCAGUAAGGGGAAUAGUAGCAGAGAGAGCUGAAAUCGAGACAGGAGCCCCCUGGUUGUGUAACUGAUAGGCUAUGUAAUGUCAGGAAAAUCUGUAAUCCCUGCAUGCCUCAUUUCUCUCACCCAGCUCUGAAGGUGUGAGAGAGGGGAGCAGCACCCUGUAGCAUGGUAGAAAAAUAGCAUGGGCUUCCGACUUGGACACGGUCCCAGCUCUGUCCCUUACCAGCUGCUGGAGUUUGGAGAAGUGGCCCAGCUCUCUGAGCAUCACUGUCCACACCUGGCUUGCCGGGAUUUUCAGUGGGAACGUGUGCAGAGCACUUGGCAGUGAUGCAGGAACUCAACCAAAGGCAGAGAUUUUUUUAUAAUCAUGUGUUUAUGUUAAAACCCUAUCAUGUGGAAUGAAUGAUUCUGUGAAGUUUUAUUGCUAUGUACUAAUUCCCAGUUUCUAGCUAUCACCUGGUAUUUGAGCUCUUCCUAAAAACCCAGCACUGCUGCUUGGUCACCUGAGAGGCUUAAGAAAAGCAGCAGACUCUCUCUGUCCUGCAGGAAGCUCAGGGUCUAAGAUGGUAAGGUUGGAGCACACGACAAGGCUAGUGGGAUCUGAGGUCGUCCAUGCCUUUUCACUGGGCAGGGGGACAGAAGAGUUCCCAUAGAGACUGGGCCCUCUGGGAGUGUUUCCUGGGGAAGGCGUGUGGAUGGGAACCCAAAGGGUGAAUGCGAUCUGAGUGACAGAUAGGGGGUGGGAGUUGGGGUAGCCAGAUCAGCAGGAGCUGAAGACCCAAAGCAGGAGGGAGGCUGUCACCUCAAGAGAAGAUCAACUUGAGGCCAAGGCAUCUUUUCUGGAAUUUUUGCCCUGGCAAGUGACUGCAGUGAGGUUUUAUGGGUUUGGUUUUGUGUUUUUUUGGAUGUGAUUUGCAGCCACUGUUGUAGCUUAUUAAAGUACCUCCUGUGCACCUCACUCCACCUGCUAUGUGUACUAUCACUGGUCUUUGUACCCGGCAAAGUAGACAUUUCCUCAUUUUAGGCUGAGCAAACUGAGGCUCGGGGGACCCUGACUUGGUGAAGGUCAGCUGGGAUGUAAAUUUUGGAUCUUCCUACUCCAAAGCCCAUGCCUUGAGAGAACACCACCUCCAAGCCACGCUCCUCUGCAUUUGGGGCCUGCCCCUGGAUAUCUGCCUGUGGGUGAGCUGCCUUGGUUUGGUCUCCUGGUCAGGGCUCAGAUGUCGUAAGGCGUGGACCUGUGGUCUUCUGGGUUGUCAUGGAGCACUGCGAAGCUCCUGUUGUAUAUGUUGUAUAAUCUCUGCCCUCUUGCUCCUCUUUUUCCUAACAUUUUGCCCGUUCUGUAUACCCGAAGACUGAAAACAGUGUUAUCCCAUUUGUCAGUACUCCCAUUCCUUCGACCCUGACAACAGGCACGUUCACAGCACAGUCAUCCCUGUUUUUGCCCUACUUUAAGCACCACAGUUGGGAGUGCAGCCUUAGAGGAAUGAUGCAUCAGGAAGCGUGACUCCCUGGCCUUGGUGCCUCUGAGUGAUUGGAGGAGACAUUCGUGCUGGGGCCACCGAACCCCCAGGGCUGGCAUGUUGAUGUCUGAAUGUGAAAAGCCAGAUGCUUUGGUGUAUUAAACAAGUGAAGAAUGACUAACCCCACUUAGAGGAAGGAGAGGACUGCCGUCUGUGACCCUGACAGAUGACUUUGCCUCUGUGCACUUGUGAGGCCUGCUUGCUCCACAGCACGAUAUGCUGAAAAUUAAUAACCUGAGCCUCAGUUUGCUCAUCUGUAAAAUGAGGAUAAUUCUUACAUGGUCCUUUGGACAAAUGAGGUGUUGCAUAUUCAGUUUGCACGGCAGCUAGCAUGUCAUAGGUAUCAUUAGCUACAGUGAUAAUGCCACUACACAGGACUGCGGGUGAAUUUAGGUAGGAGUGAAUUCUUGGCUAGCCACCCAAUAAUACCCCACUUUGAGUUUAUACUGUACCUUAGUCUAUGAGUAUGCCAAUGGGAUGACUUUCUUUUCUAUUAACUAAAUCUGAGAGUCAGGAUAGAAAGAGAAAAUUGGGCUUUGGGUUUGAAGUCCCAGUCUGUGAUACCCUAAGAACCAAAAUGACCAUUAACAUGAAUGACAGCAAGAUCGAUCUUACUGAAUGCCCCACCCUGGGUCAGGUGCCAUGACAGGCAAUUUACUUGAAGAAUUCUUCACUCUUCACAGCAGGCCCCUGAAGAGGAAAGAGUUCCAUGCCCAUUUUCUAGUUUAGGAGAAGGAGAUCAUGGAAGUAGCUAGUAAAUGGCAGAGCUUGCAUUUGAACCAGGACUGUCUGCCAUAGAGCCUGUGUUCUUCCCUGAGGGAGCACUGGAGUGACGAUAAACCUCGUGGUUACCAGACUUCCACAUUUCCUAAGAUGGUGCAAUUUUAAAAACUGGGGAGGCAGGUCCAGGAGGGAAGCAAUUUUUAAAACCAUUCCUACUUACUUUCAUCAUCAUUUCAUCAAAGAAAUGAUGUUUUAGGCCAGGCAUGGUAGCUCAUGCCUGUAAUAAUCCCAGCACUUUGGGAGACCAAGGCAGGAGGAUUGCAUGAGCGAAGCCAGGAGUUUGAGACCAGCCUGGGCCACAUAAUGAGACCCCGUCCCUACAAAAAUAAAAAUUAAAUCUAGCCAGGUGUAGUGGCAUGUACCUAUAAUCCCAGCUGCUCAGGAGGCUGAGGCAGGAGGGUUGUUGAGCCCAGGAAUUUAAUGCUGCAGUGAGCUAUGGUUGUGCCACUGUACUCCAGCUUGGGUGACAGAGUGAGACCCUGUGUCUUAGAAAAGAAAGCAAAAGGUAAUGACAUUUUGACACUAAUAAAGUAGGAAGGCCAUCCUUUUAGAGUAAGGGAUAAUCACCAAGGUAUUCUGUGCCUGCAGGCUGAGGAGUAGGGGAAGGAGGUGAACACGUGAGCCAUCCUUGUCUCCAGCCCCAUCCUGCUGUGCAUGUUCCCCUCAUAUCUCCCAGGCUUCUGUUCUCCAAGCUGCUAAUGGCCUUCAUGAAAGUAGUUCAGUUUCUCAGUCUUCUUAAACAGACCAGACACCUGCCUGACUGGCAGAGAAGCUUGCUGGAAGACCGUUCACUGCCUGGUUGGCACCAUGUCCCCUUUUGUCCCCCGAGCACUAGACCUGUGCACAGGCACGUAAGCCUUCCAUGAGCCUUUUUUCUGAGUGAGUCUAUUUAUAAAUGAAGGGAUUAGAUGGGUUUUAAACUCCACUUAAGACUCUUCUUGUCUUCUCUAGGAAGGGAUUUUGCAUCGUUACAUGUCAAAAGCAGGGGAUUUGGAGUGAGACUGCCCUGAGUUAAACCCUUUUCUCUACCACUUACUGUCUAUGAGGCUGUUCUCUCUGAGCUUCAGUUUUCUCAUCUCUAAGACGAGGGGGACGAUAACCCCUACCUCUUAGGGUUGCUGGGGUGAAAUGAGGCAAUGGAUGUAAAACACUCGAUCCUUUAACAGUGAUUGGAAAGCAGUGUUGCUUUACGAGGUUGUUGCCUAUAACACAGUUAGAACUUGCACAGACAGACUGCUCAAUAAGUGAUUGCUGUUACGCCAGUUACAGAGAAAUAAGAAGGUGGGGUGCACUGAGAGAACUUGGUCCAAGAGCUGAAAUGAGAAAGGUAAGGAUUCAUAGCACAUUUUCCCAGAUCACUGACACCUUCCACCCCCAAGGUCAUCUCAGGUGCAAGCUACUGGAACCAUUGCUGAGCCGGCUUUGGAAGCACUGAUUGAAGACUAUCAUAGUGCAGAGACUUUGGGUAGUAAAGCUGGAAAACUUUGGAUUAAGUGCUGGUUCUACUGCUCAGCAACUCUGGUGUGGGGCAAGUUGCUCCAUUUCUCUGGGCCUGUUUUCUUGUGAAAACUGGCCAAAUCCCUCCUCACAGUAAUCAUGGAAGGGCACUACAGAUGUCAGUUGCAGGUUUAUCACAUCACCACUUUUCAUUAUGCUUAGCAGGUGUGAUUUUUGCCCUCAAGGAGCGGGCUCUGGUCAGAGGUAGGGGUUCCACAGAGAGGAAUGAGAAGAGCCCCGGUAGAAGCUGGUAGCCAGGCAGUCAGGCACAGCCUGAGCAGUCAGGGAGCUGAGAUGUGGCAUCUGCUAGGAUGAAGCACCACAAGCCUAAGGCCUCCCCAAGGGCCCACUGGGGCUGAGACCUACACCCUUUAUUGUGCCCACAAGUACCUGGGAGGGUCUGUGCUUAAACUCAGAACCAUGUGGUCUGAGCCAUUCCUGUUCAUAGCUACAGAAAGCGCCUCCACUACCUUCGGUGAGCUUACUGUGCUGUUAGCUCCCUGGGAAAAAUGCUCUUUCUGUGAUGGCAGAUGGGAAAAGAACCCCAAGCCAAGAUCCUCUCCCCAGUAGAGAGCCCUCUUAUUUUCCUUCUUUGUGCCCACAAGAGAGAACCAGACUCAGACCUGUAGGCUGUUCUGAGGCUUCCAACAGGAGGGCCAGAGCCAGUGCCAGAGCUAGAGGGAGCAGGGAGGAGCCUUUGGGAAAUGUCAGCUUCACUUCCUGGCAUGGGACCCAGUGAUUACAGCGGUCAUUACAAGCUGGUGUCUCAGGAGUUCUUGCAGAGUGCUGUGCUGUUGGUCUGACCUUCUGUAGUCACACUGUGUUCUGCUAGUUUAUUAUGUAAAAAGGAACCUCUGGUUUCUGAACCUGCCUCCUUGCCAACACUGCUUUUCAGCUGCCACAUGCUACCUUCCUGCUGAUGGGCAUCCUUUUCAGGAGAUUGUCCGCAGGGAGGGAGGAAAGGAAUGCUGGAAAGUCAUAACUGGUCCCAAAGAUUAUUUUAGCACAUCACAUGUGGCUGUAUAAUUUCUCAUCGUAUUUCACAAGGUCUUAAUGUCUCAGAUGGUGAGGGCCUACCCUAAAUACCCUCUUCCCCCAUCUUCAGGUUGAUCUGCUGUGUCUACGGAAAGCACGGAGAGAAAGCAAUAGGCAUGCUAAAUAGAGCUAGAGUUUGAGAUGGCUGCUGAAUCAUCAGGGAAUAUGUUUAUGAUGAUUUUCUUUUUCCAAGUCAAAAACUGGGAUACAAGACCCACAAGUGGAUUUUUUUGAGGGGAAUUAACAGACCAAGGAACAGAAGCAGCAGAGUGAAAGACUGGGCCCGAGAAAUCCUGUAUUUUCUUUCCAGAUCAGCCACACCCACUUUCUUGGUCACCCGCUCCCUGGGCAGUAGAGCAGGGAGUCACAUAGUCUAACCUCCCGUUUGGCAGUGUGGAAGCUCUCCUUUGUCCACUGGGCAUGGAAGAGUCCAGACAAGACCCCACAUCUGGACCUUUCUAUUGGAGCUGCCAGCUUUUCUUGUUCAUUAAAGUACCCUAUUUUUCCUAUUAAAAACUAAAAUAUAA